UACAGAGGGUGCAAGCGUUAAUCGGAAUUACUGGGCGUAAAGCGCGCGUAGGCGGCCUUGUAAGUCCGUUGUGAAAGUCAAAGGCUCAACCUUUGAAAGCCGAUGGAUACUGCAGGGCUAGAGUCCGGAAGAGGCGAGUGGAAUUCCUGGUGUAGCGGUGGAAUGCGCAGAUAUCAGGAGGAACACCAAUAGCGAAGGCAGCUCGCUGGGACGGUACUGACGCUAAGGCGCGAAAGCGUGGGGAGCGAACAGG
rnacentral:rRNA from 1 species